rnacentral:tRNA from 1 species
GUGGAUAUAGCUCAGUGGUAGAGCGCAUGCUUAGCAUGCACGAGGUCCUAGGUUCAAUCCCCAGUACCUCCA